CACAGAGGAGUUUCGGACUGGAAGAACGCCGUGUACAGCGGCUGUGUCACCGGAGGAGCUAUUGGAUUUCGUGCUGGUCUGAAGGCGGGGGUGCUGGGAUGUGGAGGCUUCGCCGCGUUCUCCGCCGCCAUCGAAUAUUAUUUACGGUGAAACACUUGAAGAGCCGAUCUGUGGACUUAACGGAUGCUCAUUUCUAUGAGCCAUGUGGGAAUAUUUACGCGCACGGAGGAUUGAAGUGAUAUAUUUGGUUAAAAGUGACGGUUUGAGGUUACGUUUACCAAACGAACACUUUGAGCUAAAAAAACAACUUCAUGUGGAGAAAUCUGCGUCUGAGCCGAAUUUCUCUUCAAUCUGAGUCACGACCAACAAAAAUCAGACUCAGAUUAAUAUUUUUUUUUGUUGUAAAACAUUUGAAUGAUGUGUUCAUUAAACUAAUCCACAUCAGAUUUAUUAUUUAUGUGACAAUAAAGAUGUUUUUU